rnacentral:lncRNA from 1 species
UGCUCUUGUCCAUUUUCUUCUGAAAGACAAUAUUGAUAAUUAGAAUCAUGCAUUAGAAUAUUACUAAAAUAAUGUCUGUAUUUGAGAGAACUUUCAAGCAAUACAUAGGUUGACUUCCAUCUUAUAGACAUAUUGAGUAUAUAUGUGUCAAUAAGACUACACGACUCUGCAAUACAUUUCUUGAAGGCAAUCCUUCUAAUUUCCGAACCUUUCACAUAUUUGACACUGUCUCUAAUUUUUUGCAAGAUGUCGCUAGAAACUUUCAUAAUAUCUUGAACAAUCAAAUCCAUAAUAUAUGCAUAAGAGCGUCGAGGGAUUACUUUCCAACCAACCCAUUCUCUUCAUCAAUAAGUUUAAUCUUCAAUAUUCUCAUCAAGGUGUCAUUUGCAGUUACAAUAUUCAAAGUUAUAUAGAAAAUCUUUUUGCCAAUUUCUCACUCCUUCAAAAACUCUAAUAUUGUUGUACAUAUUUCAAGCGCAAUAUGAGGAAGAGACAUGUCCCAAAAGUUGAGAAAUUUGCUACUUAAUUUACAGUUUGUGUCAAUAAAAUGAGUACUCAAACAUAAAUAGCCUCCAAUUUUGUAAGUUGCUCACAUAUAAGAAGUUAAGCAUAUCCUAUUAGGAAUGCUAGCCAAUGUUUCACCAAGCUUCUCAUACUCACACAUGUAAAUUUUUAUUGCAUAAACCUUUGCAACAUUUCUAGUACUAGGAACAAAAUCUGGACUACAGUACUUUAACCAAACUCUAACAUUUAUAUACUCAGCACAUUUAAAUGACAAAUCAUGUUCAAUUCUUGCAGAAGCACACAUGUCACAAUAUAUCAAUUGAUAUAUCAUGUGAGACUCCAAUCUUACUUAUCCAUCUAUCACCAUUUAACCCAUAAAUUGAAACACAGUUUUUGAGCAGUCAUCUAAGUGGUGAGACAUAGAAUGUGUUCCAUCUUUAUUACCACACCUUUGUAUUAUGCACUGCAAGCAUUGCACUCAUCCCUUUUAACUCCCACUAAACUACUCUUCUAAUAUUAUGAAGAAAUUCCAACAUUUAACUCUUGUUACUUUUUCCAUUUUUAUCAGUGCUAGCAUUAGAAACAUAUAUAUAAUGGUCAAUAAUAUUCACACCGUUAAGGUGAUUUGUUUCGGCUAUAACAUUAUCUACACAAAGCAACAACAUGAACACAAUAUAUACAAUCACAUAUAUCGUAUAAAUAGAGCAACAAGAUUAUACUAUAGUAAUGAAGAUCAGGUAAAGUAUUAUUUGGGAAAUCAAUUUGGGGAAACGAAAUUAGAGAAAACCAUACUUCAUUAUUGAAAAUUUGAGAUAAAAGAAUUAAGGAAAUCAAAUUAGGCAAAUUGGAAUGAGAAAAAUUAGGGAAACCGAAAAUAGAGAAAAUUGAAAUGGAGAAAAUCGACCGUAGAUCUAGGUGUUGUGGCAGACAUGGUCAUUGUCUUAUCGGAUGAGGAAAUCACCAUCGUCAUCAUCAGUGGUUAUCAAUUUUGGUUGUCAUGACUAUCUCUCGUGCAAUCGUGCUUCCACUUCAAUCAGUGUAUGCAUCGUCUCGUGAGGAGUCAUGGAUUCGUUGUGUUUCCCGCUUCUCAUGUCGUGGUUCUUUGCUUCUCAUUCUCGUGUCAUCUAUGGGAAUGAAUAAGGAUU